UUUUGCACAAGAGGAGAUACUUGAGCAGAGCCUUAAAGCUUAGAAGGAAUCAGCCGGACAGAAGAAACAAAGAGGCAACACCCAAACUCAAGGUCUUUCAAGUAGUCCCAGCAAACGGCCAAUGCACGUACUGUGAGUGGCUGGAGCUCCAAAGUGAAAGAAUGGUGGCUGCGAGCAUGGAGAGUUUCUCCAGGAUCUUGAACUUGACUGUUGAGAGAAAACAACUUUGGGCUAUAUGGGUCUCCUCCUGUAUUAAUUCUCAGGAGGUCAAAGACUCUCAGAGCAGCACCAAGUCAGGAAAGGGCCUUGUCCAUCACUGACUAUAAAGAGAGAGCAAUAGCAAUGAACAUGAAGGGUAAGAGAGGUUCUGAGCAAUCUUCCAACCAAUUUUAUUAAAUCAUUAAGGUGUAAACAACA